GUUUAACUUCGCUCCGUCUCGAAUAGUUUCCGAUCGUUUUUGCUUUAGUUCCGAAAGCAACUGGUGUGCCUGGAGCGGGCAGGCUCAUGAUCGCGACGUUUGCCUCGAGGAGGACGAGCUUCGCAGCAGCUCCGCCCGGCCGCUCGAGCGUCUCCCGCCCGGAGCUCGCGUUGACGUCCGGCCGCCGCCGCCGCCGCCGCCGAGCGCAGGGGUUGGGCGGGCCCGCGGGGCAAGCCGGCAGAGCGGGCUCCGCCAGUCUUCCCACGAGCUCACCGAGUUACACCCGCACAGUGCUGGGGGCACUCUGCACCCAGGCGGCAUCCAUGCCCCCCCCCCCCCCCCAAAAAUCCAGUCGACGUUUCGGGUUCGGCGGGACUUUUAAGUCUGUCUCCAGCCGUGCCGAAAGGUCUCAGCCCGGAACGUUCGACUGUACUUUUCUUUUCCAUAAGAUGUACGUUCGACUGUACUUUUCUUUUACUUAAGUUGUUUCCAUAAACCGAGUUCCUCCAGUGGUUUGUGUGUGUUUUCCUUGGAAUUCCAGCAUCUGCAGAUUUUCUCCUGUUUGUGAUUGGAUCUGCACGCGAGUUGUGUGGUUCUGUCCGCGGUUAGAUAUGAAGCACAGCAGAGUUUGUCUCCUGUGGGUUGCCAAUGUAGAAAAUGAAAGCUCGAGGAGAAACUUGUGUCAAAAAGCAUGUGAUAAGUUCUGAAAUAAUUUUUAUAACAUAAUUAUGCACAAUAUAUGAUAUGAUAUUUCUGAUGAAAUUCCUAUGGAUAUUUAUUGGAAUAUUUAUUAAAUGUACCACUGCUGCAGUGGUAUGUUUUGUGUCAAUGAAACUCUUGAAAUUAAAAUUAAGCAUGAUCUCUUG